rnacentral:tRNA from 1 species
GCCAGUAUGGUGGCUAUGACCCUCGGCUUGUAACCGAGUGGGUUCGGGUUCGAAUCCCGAGUAAGAACA